UUUGAGAUCGUUGUGAUUUCUUCGUGAGACGGUUCCCCUCUGUAGCCAUCAUUUCUCCUCCAAAUCUCCGUUACUCUGAACCAUUGAUUCUGCUCUUUACACCUCUAUUAAAGAUGUAUCCUUGCACCUCCUUUUUUCCUCCUAUAAUCUCUCUUUCUCGAUUCUUCGAUAACACAGUAAUCCAAACCUCUGCAGACGAAGAUCAAGCUAUGGAGAUCUGCUCAGUCCUCCGAAAAGACUCAUGUUGCUGUAUAUUUCACUGACAUCUCCUCGGCCCAGCCGAUUCAUAACUAAGCUUUGAGCGUCUCCUUAUUGGACGAACAGAAGAGGAGGAGCGUUUUUUGAGGGAGCAGAAGAAGAAGAAGAAGAAGAAGAAGAAGAAGAAGAAGGUGGAGAGAGAGAAGCUGCUAGGAUGUGUCUUCAAAACGGUUUAGAUCAGGCAUACUGUGGUGACAAGGCUCUGGCAUUUUUUGGGAGGCAAGGAAUGUGAAGAAAGGUGAGGAGCGUAUGGAUGUCUUUAUGGUGUUAAGUGAUGAUAAGGUACUUCAUAUUUCAAUUGAACCUUGAAGCUUUAUUGUGAUCACAUUCAGAGGUAGUUUAUCUUCCUCAUAUCUGAUUGCUUUUUAUUAGUCGCAGGCAAUCCUAAUUCAUGGUUCAAUUGAACCUUGAAGCUUUAUUGUGAUCACAUUUAGAGGUAGUUUAUCUUCCUCAUAUCUGAUUUCUUUUUAUUAAUCGCAGGCAAUCCUAAUUCAUGGUUCUACUAGCGUACAUAGUACGGAUUUUGUUGCACAAUUUCAGGCUCUCUGGCUUCAUCCAUUGAUGUAUCUUAUAUCUUUUGUCCAUAACACGAAGUCAGUGGAAGGAACAUGCAUGUGAGAACCAAAGUGGUUCAAAUCAGAGACUCAAAACCAGAACCGAAGAUUGCAAGAAAAGAGGUUAAUACAAUCAAAGAGGAAACAAAGAAACAAGACAUCGAAUAGAGCAGUGAAAUAAUUUUGCUUUGUACGCAGGAAACUGAUCUGUUGUGUAAGAAUUUACAGAUUACCUUUUUAAAUUAAUCAUUUUAUUACAAUCAUGUAUUCAUGUUUUACGUAUUGUUUGGAACUCAUACCUUAGUCCUGAAUGGGAAGAAGUUAGAAGUGUAUAAAACAAUCUCUUUAUCUUUAAA